rnacentral:lncRNA from 1 species
GGCUUAUAUGUGGAAGAAUAUGAUCCGAGAAAGAUCAUGAAGAAUCUGAUCCGAGAAAGAUCAUGAAUGAUUUGAUCCGAGAAAGAUCAUGGCCACUUUGAUCUGAGAAAGAUCAUGAAUAUUUCGAUCCGAGGAAGAUCACAGAAAUCGAUCCGAAUAAAAGAUCGUCGCAUGAUCCUGGUAGUCCAAAGCCAAAGCCAAAGCCAAAGCUAAAGCUAAAGCCAAAAAGAAAAAGAUUAAAGAUGAUGUGAUAAUAGAAGAAAAU